CUUGGGGGAACACCCAGCAUCCCCAUGUUCAUCCUUCUAAAAUGAUUGUGUGGUAUCCAAUGCAAAAUUGUCAUGAUGGGUGUCUUCAGAAGGCUCAUGAUGCACUGAGCAUUGAUGUUAUAGUGAUGUUGUAGUAAGUAUUACACUAAUCAGGAUUCAGAGUGGGAG